GCCUGUUUGGCGUAGUGGUUAACGCGCCGCUCUUAUAACUCUUUCUUUACCGAAAGAUAAUAUAGUAAUGCGGAGGUUGCCAGUCUAAUCCUGGCAAUGGGCA